GACGGAGGGUGCUAGCGUUGUUCGGAAUGACUGGGCGUAAAGGGCGCGUAGGCGGCCGGUUGCGUCGGAUGUGAAAGCCCGGGGCUCAACCCCGGAACGGCAUCCGAUACGGGCUGGCUCGAGACCGAGAGAGGUGAGUGGAAUACCCAGUGUAGAGGUGAAAUUCGUAGAUAUUCGGAGGAACACCAGUGGCGAAGGCGGCUCACUGGCUCGAUACUGACGCUGAGGUGCGAAAGCGUGGGGAGCAAACAGG
rnacentral:rRNA from 1 species